UGGGGAAUAUUGCACAAUGGGCGCAAGCCUGAUGCAGCAACGCCGCGUGGAGGAAGACGGUUUUCGGAUUGUAAACUCCUGUUCUUAGUGAAGAAAAAUGACGGUAGCUAAGGAGCAAGCCACGGCUAACUACGUGCCAGCAGCCGCGGUAAUACGUAGGUGGCAAGCGUUGUCCGGAAUUACUGGGUGUAAAGGGAGCGCAGGCGGGGGAGCAAGUCAGCUGUGAAAUCUAUGGGCUUAACCCAUAAACUGCAGUUGAAACUGUUCUUCUUGAGUGAAGUAGAGGUAAGCGGAAUUCCUAGUGUAGCGGUGAAAUGCGUAGAUAUUAGGAGGAACAUCAGUGGCGAAGGCGGCUUACUGGGCUUUAACUGACGCUGAGGCUCGAAAGCGUGGGGAGCAAACAGGAUUAGAU
rnacentral:rRNA from 1 species